rnacentral:rRNA from 1 species
UAGUCAUACGCUCGUCUCAAAGAUUAAGCCAUGCAUGUGUAAGUAUAAAUAGUUAACUUUGAAACUGCGAAUGGCUCAUUAUAUCAGUUAUAGUUUAUUUGAUGAAGAAUACUAAUUGGAUAACCGUAGUAAUUCUAGAGCUAAUACAUGUAUAAAGUCUUGUAGACUGCAUUUAUUAGAAUGAAAACCAUAGGUUUCGGCCUAUUCGUGAGUAAUAAUAACUAAUCAUAUCGUAUGCUUAUGUAACGAUG